GCCAGUGUGGCAUAGUGGUUAGUGUGUCGGACUAGGACUUGGGAGACCUGGGUUCAAAUCCUCAGCCAUGAAGCU